GCCGAAGUGGUGGAAUUGGCAGACGCGCUACGUUCAGGUCGUAGUGAGGGAAACCUCGUGGGAGUUCGAGUCUCCCCUUCGGCACCA
rnacentral:tRNA from 1 species